rnacentral:rRNA from 1 species
GAUGAACGCUGACAGAAUGCUUAACACAUGCAAGUCAACUUGAACUUCGGUUUGGGUGGCGGACGGGUGAGUAACGCGUAAAGAACUUGCCUCACAGAUAGGGACAACAUUUGGAAACGAAUGCUAAUACCUGAUAUUAUGAUUAUAUGGCAUCGUAUAAUUAUGAAAGCUAUAUGCGCUGUGAGAGAGCUUUGCGUCCCAUUAGCUAGUUGGAGAGGUAACGGCUCACCAAGGCGAUGAUGGGUAGCCGGCCUGAGAGGGUGAUCGGCCACAAGGGGACUGAGACACGGCCCUUACUCCUACGGGAGGCAGCAGUGGGGAAUAUUGGACAAUGGACCAAGAGUCUGAUCCAGCAAUUCUGUGUGCACGAUGAAGUUUUUCGGAAUGUAAAGUGCUUUCAGUUGGGAAGAAAAGAAUGACGGUACCAACAGAAGAAGAGACGGCUAAAUACGUG